UACGAAGGGGGCUAGCGUUGUUCGGAAUUAUUGGGCGUAAAGGGCUCGUAGGCGGUUUGUCGCGUCGGGAGUGAAAACCUUGGGCUUAACUCAGGGCUUGCUUUCGAUACGGGCAGACUAGAGGUAUGCAGGGGAGAACGGAAUUCCUGGUGUAGCGGUGAAAUGCGCAGAUAUCAGGAGGAACACCGGUGGCGAAGGCGGUUCUCUGGGCAUGAUCUGACGCUGAGGAGCGAAAGUGUGGGGAGCGAACAGG
rnacentral:rRNA from 1 species